rnacentral:tRNA from 1 species
AUUUAAAUAGUUUAAUUUUAAAAUUUUAAUUUGUGAUGUUAAAGAUUUAUUUAUAAUAAUUUAAAUU